rnacentral:rRNA from 1 species
AUUGAACGCUGGCGGAAUGCUUUACACAUGCAAGUCGAACGGCAGCACGGACUUCGGUCUGGUGGCGAGUGGCGAACGGGUGAGUAAUACAUCGGAACGUGCCCAGUCGUGGGGGAUAACGUAGCGAAAGCUACGCUAAUACCGCAUACGAUCUAAGGAUGAGAGCGGGGGAUCGCAAGACCUCGCGCGAUUGGAGCGGCCGAUGGCAGAUUAGGUAGUUGGUAGGGUAAAGGCCUACCAAGCCGACGAUCUGUAGCUGGUCUGAGAGGAUGAUCAGCCAAACUGGGAAUGGGACACGGCCCAGACUCCUACGGGAGGCAGGAGUGGGGAAUUUUGGACAAUGGGCGCAAGCCUGAUCCAGCCAUUCCGCGUGCAGGAUGAAGGCCUUCGGGUUGUAAACUGCUUUUGUACAGAACGAAAAGGCUCUGGUUAAUACCCGGGGCUCAUGACGGUACUGUAAGAAUAAGCACCGGCUAACUACGUGCCAGCCGCCGCGGUAA